rnacentral:rRNA from 1 species
GAAAGUAAACAAGGGCGCAUGGAGGAUGCCUAGGCUCUCGGAGGCGAAGAAGGACGUGAUAAGCUGCGAAAAGUUACGGUAAGGCGCAAAUAGCCCUAGACCCGUAAAUAUCCGAAUGGGGCAACCCGGCCAGCAAUGGUCAUACCGCCAAGCGGUAAGCCAACGCGGGGAACUGAAACAUCUAAGUACCCGCAGGAAAAGAAAAUAACAAUGAUUCCGCCAGUAGUGGCGAGCGAACGCGGAACAGCCCAAACCACUCGUGUUACGGCACGAGUGGGGUAGAAGGAUCCACGCUACGGCAAGAAAUAAGUUAGCAGAAUACGAUGGAAAUCGUAGCCAAAGACGGUGACAGCCCGGUACGCGAAAACGGACAGAAGCCCAGUGGACACCUGAGUAACCCAGGACACGAGAAAUCCGGGGCGAAUCAGCGGGGCCCAUCCCGUAAGGCUAAAUACUCCCGAGAGACCGAUAGCGAACCAGUACUGUGAAGGAAAGGUGAAAAGCACCUCGAACAGAGGAGUGAAAUAGUCCCUGAAACCGUCUGCCUACAAGCGGUCGGAGCACAUUAAAGUGUGACGGCGUGCCUUUUGCAUAAUGAACCUACGAGUUACUUUCUCCGGCAAGGUUAAGGGCUUCAGGCCCGGAGCCGAAGCGAAAGCGAGUCUUAAUAGGGCGUGAUAGUCGGAGUGAGUAGACGCGAAACCAAGUGAUCUACCCUUGGUCAGGAUGAAGGUUGGGUAACACCAACUGGAGGUCCGAAUGGGUAUACGUUGAAAAGUGUUCCAAUGAACUGAGGGUAGGGGUGAAAGGCUAAUCAAACUUGGAGAUAGCUCGUACUCCCCGAAAUGCAUUUAGGUGCAGCCUUUAUUUAGUAUAGCAUGAGGUAGAGCGACUGAUUGGAUGCGAGGGCUUCACCGCCUAUCAAGUCCAGAUAAACUCCGAAUGCGUGCUAUAUAUUGAUAAGGAGUGAGGGCGCGGGUGCUAAGGUCCGCGUCCGAGAGGAGAAGAAUCCAGACCAUCAGCUAAGGUCCCCAAAUAACAGUUAAGUUGAACUAACGAAGUCGGACUGCAGAGACAGCUAGGAUGUUGGCUUGGAAGCAGCCAUUCAUUUAAAGAGUGCGUAACAGCUCACUAGUCGAGGAGUCCGGCGUGGAUAAUACUCGGGCAUAAACUGUUUACCGAAGCUAUGGAUGUAGAAAUACAUGGUAGGGGAGCAUUCCAACGGCGUCGAAGGUGAAGGAUGACCUUUGCUGGAGCUUUUGGAAACGCAAAUGUAGGUAUAAGUAACGAUAAAGGAGGUGAGAAACCUCCUCGCCGAAAGACUAAGGUUUCCUGAUCAACGUUAAUCGGAUCAGGGUAAGUCGGGACCUAAGGUUAAGCCGAACGGCGAUACCGAUGGAAGAAUGGUUUAAUAUUCCCAUACUACUUUAUGGAGCGAUGUGGAGACGGAGAAGUGAAAGUCCUGCCAUCUGACGGAAUAGGUGGUUGAAGAGUGUAGAUGUAGAUUCCUGUAGGCAAAUCCGCAGGGAGAGUCGACCUUGACAGUAUGCCGCGUGCUUGCACAAGGCAAAAUGGACGUAAUCAGGCUCCCAAGAAAAUCCGCUAAGCAUAUUCAUAAAGUACCCGUACCGUAAACGGACACACGUAGUUGGGUUGAAAAUACUGAGGCGCUCGAGUGAUUCACGGUUAAGGAACUAGGCAAAUUGACCCUGUAACUUCGGGAUAAAGGGUCCCUACUGAGAGGUAGGGCGCAGAGAAUAGGUCCAGGCAACUGUUUAACAAAAACACAUGGCUGUGCGAAAUAGAAAUAUGAAGUAUACAGCCUGACACCUGCCCGGUGCUGGAAGGUUAAGAGGAGAGCUCAUCGCAAGAGAAGGCUUGAAUUGAAGCCCCAGUAAACGGCGGCCGUAACUAUAACGGUCCUAAGGUAGCGAAAUUCCUUGUCGGGU